UACGGAGGAUGCAAGCGUUAUCCGGAAUGAUUGGGCGUAAAGCGUCCGCAGGUGGCGAUGUAAGUCUGCUGUUAAAGAGUGAGGCUCAACCUCAUAAGAGCAGUGGAAACUACAUAGCUAGAGUGCGGUAGGGGCAGAGGGAAUUCCUGGUGUAGCGGUGAAAUGCGUAGAGAUCAGGAAGAACACCGGUGGCGAAAGCGCUCUGCUAGGCCGCAACUGACACUGAGGGACGAAAGCUAGGGGAGCGAAUGGG
rnacentral:rRNA from 1 species